rnacentral:tRNA from 1 species
GCGGUUGUGGUCUAGUGGCUAUGACAGGGGCUUCCCAAGCCUCUAACCCGGGUUCAAAUCCCGGCAGCCGCA